rnacentral:rRNA from 1 species
AUGCCUAGGAAUCUGCCUGGUAGUGGGGGAUAACGUUCCGAAAGGAACGCUAAUACCGCGUACGUCCUACGGGAGAAAGCAGGGGACCUUCGGGCCUUGCGCUAUCAGAUGAGCCUAGGUCGGAUUAGCUAGUUGGUGAGGUAAUGGCUCACCAAGGCGACGAUCCGUAACUGGUCUGAGAGGAUGAUCAGUCACACUGGAACUGAGACACGGUCCAGACUCCUACGGGAGGCAGCAGUGGGGAAUAUUGGACAAUGGGCGAAAGCCUGAUCCAGCCAUGCCGCGUGUGUGAAGAAGGUCUUCGGAUUGUAAAGCACUUUAAGUUGGGAGGAAGGGCUGUAGGCUAAUAUCCUGCAGUUUUGACGUUACCAACAGAAUAAAGCACCGGCUAACUUCGUGCCAGCAGCCGCGGUAAUACGAAGGGUGCAAGCGUUAAUCGGAAUUACUGGGCGUAAAGCGCGCGUAGGUGGUUCGUUAAGUUGGAUGUGAAAGCCCCGGGCUCAACCUGGGAACUGCAUCCAAAACUGGCGAGCUAGAGUACGGUAGAGGGUAGUGGAAUUUCCUGUGUAGCGGUGAAAUGCGUAGAUAUAGGAAGGAACACCAGUGGCGAAGGCGACUACCUGGACUGAUACUGACACUGAGGUGCGAAAGCGUGGGGAGCAAACAGGAUUAGAUACCCUGGUAGUCCACGCCGUAAACGAUGUCAACUAGCCGUUGGAAUCCUUGAGAUUUUAGUGGCGCAGCUAACGCAUUAAGUUGACCGCCUGGGGAGUACGGCCGCAAGGUUAAAACUCAAAUGAAUUGACGGGGGCCCGCACAAGCAGGUGGAGCAUGUGGUUUAAUUCGAAGCAACCGCGAAGAACCCUACCUGGCCUUGACAUGCUGAGAACUUUCCAGAGAUGGAUUGGUGGCGUCGGGAACU